ACUCCUACGGGAGGCAGCAGUGGGAAUAUUGGACAAUGGGCGAAAGCCUGAUCCAGCCAUGCCGCGUGUGUGAAGAAGGCCCUCGGGUUGUAAAGCACUUUCAGCGAGGAAGAACGCCUAGUGGUUAAUACCCAUUAGGAAAGACAUCACUCGCAGAAGAAGCACCGGCUAACUCCGUGCCAGCAGCCGCGGUAAUACGGAGGGUGCAAGCGUUAAUCGGAAUUACUGGGCGUAAAGCGCGCGUAGGUGGCUUGAUAAGCCGGUUGUGAAAGCCCGGCUGCAACCUGGGAACGGCAUCCGGAACUGUCAAGCUAGAGUGCAGGAGAGGAAGGUAGAAUUCCCGGUGUAGCGGUGAAAUGCGUAGAGAUCGGGAGGAAUACCAGUGGCGAAGGCGGCCUUCUGGACUGACACUGACACUGAGGUGCGAAAGCGUGGGUAGCAAACAGGAUUAGAUACCCUGGUAGGCUCUG
rnacentral:rRNA from 1 species